rnacentral:rRNA from 2 species
GGACUACCCGGGUAUCUAAUCCUGUUUGCUACCCACGCUUUCGGGCAUGAACGUCAGUGUUAUCCCAGGAGGCUGCCUUCGCCAUCGGUAUUCCUCCACAUCUCUACGCAUUUCACUGCUACACGUGGAAUUCUACCUCCCUCUGACACACUCUAGUCACCCAGUUCAGAACGCAGUUCCCAGGUUGAGCCCGGGGAUUUCACAUCCUGCUUAAGUAACCGUCUGCGCCCGCUUUACGCCCAGUAAUUCCGAUUAACGCUCGCACCCUACGUAUUACCGCGGCGGCUGGCAC